rnacentral:lncRNA from 1 species
AUUAAUGCGUUGAUGAAGUGAAUUCAGUUCACCUAAAUUAGGAGUAGAACCUUCUAAAUUUUCGAUGAUGGCUUUCGCAAUUCGAAACUCAUCGAAAGGGUCCGAAACACAAACCCAGAUCCUAACAUUAAAAUUGUUGAUUACAUCUGCAUCGUUGUAAGCCAAUUGAGCAAGAGUUGUCUUUCCGAUACCACCCAUCCCUACGAGAGAGAUGAGUUGGAUGGCAUUUGGUUGUUCAGCAGUUUCACUUAACAACUUGCCCUUCAGAGCAUUUUUCUCCUCAUUUCGACCACACACUUCAGACACAUUAAUUAAGGCAGUACUUUGCGUCCUCUCAGAUUUAUCCUCCUUACUUCUAGUGACACUCAAAUUAAAAGUAUCUUUCUGGCUAGCAAUAUCAUCUAAAGUUUCAUUCAUUUCUUUUAUCUUUUUAGCAAUAUCACAACACAGAAAGAGUUGUUUGAAACCAAAGCAAGAGGCAGCAGGAAAGAAAGAGAUGCAUACCUUCUGCAGGAAAGAAAGAGCAUUAUCAGCAUCAACUCCCUCGAUUUGCAGUUUGAGCCUGGCAGUAUUCCACUCAUCCAAUACAUCUUCAGUGUCGUAGGAUGCGUGUUUGAGCUUGUCUAAAGAAAUUUCAGAAAUAUGUUUUCACUACAACUGUUAGAUGCAUGAAUAAAACAGAGGACGAUACAACAUCAGAUUUGACCACUGAUUGAAUUGCUGUUCAUAUGACUGCAGUUAAAAAAAAAAAAAAACAUCGAUGAAUACCAAAACACAAGUCACUGUCGUUAAUAUUUCUCUUAUUAACGCAGGUGAGAUUACCUUGAUGAAUGGAGGCGGUUGGUGUGUUCACUGGGCUCAAAGUACAUGACUGCUGGAGAUGAUGCUGCUUUUGGAAUGAUAGGUUGGGCUGAGAGUUUCAUGCAAUCAUUGUUUCCCAGGUGGUUGUAGCUAACAGAUAAUUUGGCACCCACCAGCCAAUCAAUUUCAUCACAAUCAGAAACCAUCUUUUUCCAUAAAGUGCUUAUAACGAUCAAAACUAUAUAUAUACCUGAUUCCAGCCCUUACAAGAAAAUAAACCAUAACAGACUUCAUCUUUGUCUUGCCAAUCUUCAAUUCUUCAUCUCUUCUACUGUUGCUCCGAAUGGCGAAAACAAUAAGCGCUGCAAACAAAAACGAAGUUAAACAAAAGAAAGGCACAAUCUUUUGCUUGUCUAAAAAACUUCAACCGAACAACAAAGCAAAGAGCAAGGUUAUCAAAUUUAAGAACCUAAAAUCUCAGCCUCCUUAAUUUUCUCCAAAGAAGCAAGAAGGUUCACCAUUGUACCUUCUCCAUCAUAAGAUCCAACUCUAUUUAAUGAUUCUUUAGUGAGCCAAAAAAUUGGCUUGUUGCACUUUGUCCUUUGUGGCACAGGAGAUUCAUCUGAGAACAAAAAUUAAAUCAAUAAAGUGACUCGCACUUGAUUAAGAUUUAAUCAAAAAAUUUAAUAAGAAACUCUUGAUUGCUAUGAAGCCAACAGUGAGAGUUCACUGUUCCUACGCCACCCCACAGGCAUACUCUAAAAAUAAGCCAAAAAAAAAAAUCCGAAGAAAUUCUGAUUUCCAAAUUGACCGACCAAAGUUAAAAAAUGAAAAGAAUAAGAAUCUACAGAGCCUGCUGUACGGCCAAGGCGGAUGUACGGUACAGCAGUUUUAUUUAGUUUCUAUCCGACAUUUACUGUGAUAGGCAAUGAAAUUGGUGCAAAUAAAUUACGGACCAACAUUGUUUAAUCUCAUUGGACAGAUCGUUAUAACUCAAUAGUACAGCAGGUAAAAUAUCUUUUUCAAAAUCUUCCACCUGCCAAAUUUCACUAUCUAAGAUAUUUUGCCACUCUUCUCUAGUUUUUUUAACCACAACAAACCCCAGAUAGUUUUAGCCGCAAGUGGCAACAUUCUGGUUUAGACAAUUAUUUCUACCAAUUUCUUCUAAUUGUUCGCACUCUAAACGAGAUCGAUUGAGAAAAGCAAAUCGUUUAAAUAGCGACAACAUUCUGGUUUAGACAAUUCUUUAAUGAAGAUAAGAUAGAAUUAUUAAUGCGUUGAUGAAGUGAAUUCAGUUCACCUAAAUUAGGAGUAGAACCUUCUAAAUUUUCGAUGAUGGCUUUCGCAAUUCGAAACUCAUCGAAAGGGUCCGAAACACAAACCCAGAUCCUAACAUUAAAAUUGUUGAUUACAUCUGCAUCGUUGUAAGCCAAUUGAGCAAGAGUUGUCUUUCCGAUACCACCCAUCCCUACGAGAGAGAUGAGUUGGAUGGCAUUUGGUUGUUCAGCAGUUUCACUUAACAACUUGCCCUUCAGAGCAUUUUUCUCCUCAUUUCGACCACACACUUCAGACACAUUAAUUAAGGCAGUACUUUGCGUCCUCUCAGAUUUAUCCUCCUUACUUCUAGUGACACUCAAAUUAAAAGUAUCUUUCUGGCUAGCAAUAUCAUCUAAAGUUUCAUUCAUUUCUUUUAUCUUUUUAGCAAUAUCACAACACAGAAAGAGUUGUUUGAAACCAAAGCAAGAGGCAGCAGGAAAGAAAGAGAUGCAUACCUUCUGCAGGAAAGAAAGAGCAUUAUCAGCAUCAACUCCCUCGAUUUGCAGUUUGAGCCUGGCAGUAUUCCACUCAUCCAAUACAUCUUCAGUGUCGUAGGAUGCGUGUUUGAGCUUGUCUAAAGAAAUUUCAGAAAUAUGUUUUCACUACAACUGUUAGAUGCAUGAAUAAAACAGAGGACGAUACAACAUCAGAUUUGACCACUGAUUGAAUUGCUGUUCAUAUGACUGCAGUUAAAAAAAAAAAAAAACAUCGAUGAAUACCAAAACACAAGUCACUGUCGUUAAUAUUUCUCUUAUUAACGCAGGUGAGAUUACCUUGAUGAAUGGAGGCGGUUGGUGUGUUCACUGGGCUCAAAGUACAUGACUGCUGGAGAUGAUGCUGCUUUUGGAAUGAUAGGUUGGGCUGAGAGUUUCAUGCAAUCAUUGUUUCCCAGGUGGUUGUAGCUAACAGAUAAUUUGGCACCCACCAGCCAAUCAAUUUCAUCACAAUCAGAAACCAUCUUUUUCCAUAAAGUGCUUAUAACGAUCAAAACUAUAUAUAUACCUGAUUCCAGCCCUUACAAGAAAAUAAACCAUAACAGACUUCAUCUUUGUCUUGCCAAUCUUCAAUUCUUCAUCUCUUCUACUGUUGCUCCGAAUGGCGAAAACAAUAAGCGCUGCAAACAAAAACGAAGUUAAACAAAAGAAAGGCACAAUCUUUUGCUUGUCUAAAAAACUUCAACCGAACAACAAAGCAAAGAGCAAGGUUAUCAAAUUUAAGAACCUAAAAUCUCAGCCUCCUUAAUUUUCUCCAAAGAAGCAAGAAGGUUCACCAUUGUACCUUCUCCAUCAUAAGAUCCAACUCUAUUUAAUGAUUCUUUAGUGAGCCAAAAAAUUGGCUUGUUGCACUUUGUCCUUUGUGGCACAGGAGAUUCAUCUGAGAACAAAAAUUAAAUCAAUAAAGUGACUCGCACUUGAUUAAGAUUUAAUCAAAAAAUUUAAUAAGAAACUCUUGAUUGCUAUGAAGCCAACAGUGAGAGUUCACUGUUCCUACGCCACCCCACAGGCAUACUCUAAAAAUAAGCCAAAAAAAAAAAUCCGAAGAAAUUCUGAUUUCCAAAUUGACCGACCAAAGUUAAAAAAUGAAAAGAAUAAGAAUCUACAGAGCCUGCUGUACGGCCAAGGCGGAUGUACGGUACAGCAGUUUUAUUUAGUUUCUAUCCGACAUUUACUGUGAUAGGCAAUGAAAUUGGUGCAAAUAAAUUACGGACCAACAUUGUUUAAUCUCAUUGGACAGAUCGUUAUAACUCAAUAGUACAGCAGGUAAAAUAUCUUUUUCAAAAUCUUCCACCUGCCAAAUUUCACUAUCUAAGAUAUUUUGCCACUCUUCUCUAGUUUUUUUAACCACAACAAACCCCAGAUAGUUUUAGCCGCAAGUGGCAACAUUCUGGUUUAGACAAUUAUUUCUACCAAUUUCUUCUAAUUGUUCGCACUCUAAACGAGAUCGAUUGAGAAAAGCAAAUCGUUUAAAUAGCGACAACAUUCUGGUUUAGACAAUUCUUUAAUGAAGAUAAGAUAGAAUUAUUAAUGCGUUGAUGAAGUGAAUUCAGUUCACCUAAAUUAGGAGUAGAACCUUCUAAAUUUUCGAUGAUGGCUUUCGCAAUUCGAAACUCAUCGAAAGGGUCCGAAACACAAACCCAGAUCCUAACAUUAAAAUUGUUGAUUACAUCUGCAUCGUUGUAAGCCAAUUGAGCAAGAGUUGUCUUUCCGAUACCACCCAUCCCUACGAGAGAGAUGAGUUGGAUGGCAUUUGGUUGUUCAGCAGUCUCACUUAACAACUUGCCCUUCAGAGCAUUUUUCUCCUCAUUUCGACCACACACUUCAGACACAUUAAUUAAGGCAGUACUUUGCGUCCUCUCAGAUUUAUCCUCCUUACUUCUAGUGACACUCAAAUUAAACGUAUCUUUCUGUCGGGAAAUAUUAUCUAAAGUUUCAUUCAUUUCUUUUAUCUUUUUAGCAAUAUCACGACGCAGAAAGAGUUGUUCGAAACCAAAGCAAGAGGCAGCAGGAAAGAAAGAGCUGCAUAACUUCUGCAGGAAAGAAAGAGCAUUAUCAGCAUCAACUCCCUCGUUUUGCAGUUUGCCCCUGGCAGUAUUCCACUCAUCCAACACAUCAUCAAUGUCGUAGGAUGCUUGUUUGAGCUUGUCUAACCAGAGUCUCACGUGUUCCUCCUUCACUUGCCUUCGCUCUGCAUCAGCCAGCACAGCUUGAAUGGCUUCUAAAUUGUCUUGCAGCCUUUUCACUUCUUUUUCGACGCCCGUUACCAGCCUCACCUGUUCUUUUGCCUCUUCAACUGCCGUUGAAUUCAGCUGCUUUAAGACAGCGGACACGAUCGCAUCAACCAUUUUGAAAGUUGGAAGCUUAAAGAUGAGAGAAUGAAAUUUGUGAGUUAUAAUUUCUGGACUUACAUGUAUGCAGGAGAAGACUUAGAUAACAUAUAGGUGAAAAACAAUCGGAGUUGACUCCGAACAAUCGAACUGAUCGCUUGAAUGGGUUCGGUUUGGUUCGGUUUGCUUUCGUUUCAGAUUACGAAAUAAUAAAUUAAAUAAAAAUAAUAGUAAGAUAAAAUUAUUAUGAAAUAAUUAUAGUUAUGUGAAAUGUUCAUUAGAAUAAAUUUUUUAUUUCUCCACUAAAUAAUUUUUUUCUCUUAUAGUUUUUUAUAUUUCUUACAAAUUU